rnacentral:rRNA from 1 species
AACGCGAAGAACCUUACCUGGUCUUGACAUCCUAGGAAUCCCGAAGAGAUUUGGGAGUGCCGCAAGGAGCCUAGAGACAGGUGCUGCAUGGCUGUCGUCAGCUCGUGUCGUGAGAUGUUGGGUUAAGUCCCGCAACGAGCGCAACCCUUGUCCUUAGUUGCCAGCAUUAAGUUGGGCACUCUAAGGAGACCGCCGGUGACAAACCGGAGGAAGGUGGGGAUGACGUCAAGUCAGCAUGGCCCUUACGUCUGGGGCUACACACGUGCUACAAUGGGUGCGACAACGAGUUCCAAACUCGCGAGGGUAAGGCAAUCUCUUAAACGCAUCCUCAGUUCGGAUUGAAGGCUGCAACUCGCCUUCAUGAAGUCGGAAUCGCUAGUAAACGCAGAUCAGCUACGCUGCGUUGAAUACGUUCCCGGGCCUUGUACACCCGAGACGUA